rnacentral:lncRNA from 1 species
UGUCAUGCUCGCUAGGCGAAGCCCACGUGUUAAAAAAAACAAAAAAAAACAAAAAAAAACAAAAAACGAAAAAAAUAAAAUAAAUAAAUAAAUAAAACAGAAAAACUUUGGACUUGGGCCUCUCUCAUUUGAGCCCACAGGUCCACAAAAAUCAGGUUAUAAAUUCAGAGUUUCAGUGAAACAAAAGGAAUUCUAUUCCUAUUACCCUGACAGGGAAAAAGAUAGUGAGAGAAGAGCUAACAGAGUUCAGAGCAACCUCCAGAGACUGAAGGGAACUCAUCGGCAAAGAACCAAU